rnacentral:rRNA from 1 species
GUCGUCAGCUCGUGUCGUGAGAUGUUGGGUUAAGUCCCGCAACGAGCGCAACCCUUAUUACUAGUUGCCAGCAUUUAGUUGGGCACUCUAGUGAGACUGCCGGUGACAAACCGGAGGAAGGUGGGGACGACGUCAAAUCAUCAUGCCCCUUAUGACCUGGGCUACACACGUGCUACAAUGGAUGGUACAACGAGUCGCGAGACCGCGAGGUUUAGCUAAUCUCUUAAAACCAUUCUCAGUUCGGAUUGUAGGCUGCAACUCGCCUACAUGAAGCCGGAAUCGCUAGUAAUCGCGGAUCAGCAUGCCGCGGUGAAUACGUUCCCGGGA